rnacentral:rRNA from 1 species
UACGUAGGAUGCAAGCGUUUGUCCGGAAUUACUGGGCGUAAAGGGCGAGUAGGUGGCCAUCUAAAGUCAGACGUGAAAUCCCCCGGCUUAACCUGGGAACUGCGUCUGAUACUGGAAGGCUUGAGGAUGGGGAGAGGGAUGUAGAAUUCCAGGUGUAGCGGUGAAAUGCGUAGAUAUCUGGAGGAAUACCGGUGGCGAAGGCGGCAUCCUGGACCGAUUACUGA